rnacentral:rRNA from 1 species
GUAGUCUCGCACAGAUGCAUAUCAAUAAGCGGAGGAAAAGAAACUAACAAGGAUUCCCUCAGUAACGGCGAGUGAAGCGGGAAGAGCUCAAAUUUGAAAUCUUGAAAGGUCACCUUUCACGAAUUGCAGUUUAAAGAAGUGUUUUCUGUUACGAUCGUAAUAUAAGUUCUUUGGAAUAGGACAUCACAGAGGGUGAGAAUCCCGUCUAUGAUUGCGAUUCGUAGCUUUGUGAUACACUUUCAAAGAGUCGGGUUGUUUGGGAAUGCAGCCCAAAACGGGAGGUAAAUUUCUUCUAAGGCUAAAUAUUGGCGAGAGACCGAUAGCGAACAAGUACCGUGAGGGAAAGGAUGAAAAGGAACUUUGAAAAGAGAGUUAAAUAGUACGUGAAAUUGUCAAAAGGGAAGCGUUUAACACCAGUGUUGUUUUCUGAAAAUCAACCUCUGUUAGCUUUAUGCAUGUUUGUUUAGACCUAAUCAGCUAUCUUGCAUGUUCUAUUGUUUGCAGUGGUGCACUUUUCAGUUUACAGGUCAACAUCAGUUUUUUUUACCGUAAAAAAGUUAAAGAAAGGUAGCUCAUGGCUCCGGUCGUGAGUGUUAUAGUCUUUUUCCUAUGCGGUAGGAGAGACUGAGGUCUGCAGUGUAGGCUAUUUGGCUAGAUACUCAGGUGCUAUGUGAUACCAUUUCAUAAACAACUUGUUGAUUAUGUUUUGUCUAUUGCAUACUCGCUUGUACUAUCAUACCUACGCUUAGGAUGUUGAGUCGUAGAGCACGCAG